CCAUAAUACUGAUAGUAAUUAUUUUCUUUCCAGGAUCAACAUCUGAUCAAUUUAGCUGAAGAUGAGGAGUCGAAGCCACACAAAGUUAAGAUUGUGAAGUAUAUUGCAUUGUAAAUUCUGUUGAUGAAUUGACUGUUGGAAAGCAGCUAUUAUAAAUAAUCAGUGUCUUCGAAACAUUUCAAAGUCGUAAAUAAA